UACGGGGGGGGCAAGCGUUGUUCGGCAUUACUGGGCGUAAAGGGCGCGUAGGCGGCCUGCUAAGUAGGAUGUGAAAUCCCUCGGCUCAACCGAGGAACUGCAUCCGAUACUGGCGGGCUUGAAUCCGGGAGAGGGAUGUGGAAUUCCAGGUGUAGCGGUGAAAUGCGUAGAUAUCUGGAGGAACACCGGUGGCGAAGGCGGCAUCCUGGACCGGUAUUGACGCUGAGGCGCGAAAGCUAGGGGAGCAAACGGG
rnacentral:rRNA from 1 species